UACGUAGGGUGCGAGCGUUGUCCGGAAUUAUUGGGCGUAAAGGGCUCGUAGGCGGUUUGUCGCGUCGGGAGUGAAAACACCGGGCUUAACUCGGUGCUUGCUUCCGAUACGGGCAGACUAGAGGCAUGCAGGGGAGAACGGAAUUCCUGGUGUAGCGGUGAAAUGCGCAGAUAUCAGGAGGAACACCGGUGGCGAAGGCGGCAUCCUGGACCAAUUCUGACGCUGAGGAGCGAAAGCCAGGGGAGCAAACGGG
rnacentral:rRNA from 1 species